rnacentral:rRNA from 1 species
UACAGAGGUCUCAAGCGUUGUUCGGAUUCAUUGGGCGUAAAGGGUGCGUAGGUGGCGCGCUAAGUCAGGUGUGAAAUUUCGGAGCUUAACUCCGAAACUGCAUUUGAUACUGGCGUGCUUGAGGACUGGAGAGGAGACUGGAAUUCACGGUGUAGCAGUGAAAUGCGUAGAGAUCGUGAGGAAGACCAGUGGCGAAGGCGGCUGACUGGAUCGCAACUGACGCUGAGGAACGAAAGCUAGGGGAGCAAACAGG